CCGAUGGGAGUUAGGUGGCGAGGAAAUUUUAGAUGUGUUUUUAGCAGUAUAGAGGUAAGAAACUUAGUGAUAAUAAUGCUGCUAUAAUUAGUAUUAUGUUGAUAAUUCAUUUGAAACAUAAUUCCAUGUAGGAGGCCAAAGCUGAAACUUGGAAUUGGUGCCUCCUUAGUGGUGUUAAUAAUGCAAAUGAAUUAGCCUUAUUUUCAAGGCUUUUAUAAAUGGUUAUCAUUCUUUUAACCCAUAUUUGUGCCUUUUCAUUUUAAUGCUGGAAUUUUUCUAUGUAAACUUUUAAAAAAGUCUUUAAAUCACCAAAUUUGGCUAAUAGUUUUCUCUUUCAGUGUCAUUAGCAACUGUAGCUAUCAUUCUGUAAUUUUAAUUGUCCUCUGUUUUUUGGAAAUUGCACCAAAUUUUUGCUAACUUUCUAAGAUUUCAGGUCUUUAAAUCACAAGAGGGAUUCUUGGCAUGGCCAAUGUGCACACUUUCAUCCUGAAGUGUUUUCCCCUUCACUAGAAAUGUGCUUUUCUAUAAAUUCUCUUUGAAUUUAUAGUGUGAUGCCAAAUAAAAUUUUCUCAGGAUUUCAUUAGGUUGAGCUAUAUGAAAUUGCCGAGAUUUUACCUUUUUAACUUAAAAAAACCAAAGUUUCUUAUGGUUUACCCUAAUAGAUACCUCCUUUACCCUCUAAACCAAAUACUUAGAGGACUUUGGAAUAUAUAUUUUGAAUACAACUUUUUAAAAUACAGUAAUCCUAUUAAACUUAUUUUUAUAGUCUUUUUCCCUUUGAAGUUAUAUGUAAUAAUGCUUCAUAUCAUAUGUUAAAUUUAAAGACCCAUGAGUCCACGGUUGAUUGGCUUUUGUAGUUUCUUGAAUAGAAAAAAAAAAUCACAGUUAAAUUCUAGUAUAGUAAGCAUAUUAUACAGUAAGAUAUUAAACGUCACUGCUGCACCGUUAUACUAACAUGAUGAAUGCAGACAACAUAUUUUAUAUCUGGAACUUCAUCAGGCCAGUACUCUGCAGUUAAAGAGAGAAUUUAAUAUUUAGAAAAGCUUGGGAGGUUGCUCAGGAAGCAGGGUGUAGAUGCAAAUGAUUCUUUGUUACAAUGAACCCUUUAUUGGUGAGGCUUUGAUGGUCUCCAGCUCUUACUGUGUCAGACCUCGCAUCUAUUAUUAUCUUAAGCCUGCGAAUUUGAAAGAUUAUAGACUCUCUCCCACCCUUUCAUCACAAUUCUUCCAAAGUAAGAAAGAUCUUGGCUUCUGAGGUUUAUGCCUUGGUGAGAAAGGAUCUUUUCCAAUAGUUCCAAGAGAAAAUUUUUGACUUGCUGAUCUUCCCAAAUGCUUCCCACUUGACAAAUCCUAAAUGAAGUCUACGUAGGGGAGUCACACUAUCAUUAUAACUUUAGCCUAAUCCACAACAUGGGAGUUAGAGUUGCAAAAGCAUCAUUUUGCGAGUAUCUUAGAUAAUUACAGAAUCGGAGCAUUUAGAGUUCAAAGGUUAGAAAUCCUCUUGUAGGAGCCAUGCUCCACAGAUAGGGCUGUAAAGGAGGGGACCUGCCCAAAAUGGGUUUCUAUGGCCUUCUCCCCUCCCUUAGUUCCAUGAUAAAGUAUGGAAAGCCAACCACCGCUUGAGCUACAGAAGGUAAAUUAACUCUCAGGGAACCCUGUCCUGGUUCUUCACCUUGCACAAUAAAAGAACCUAUGGGACUUUGAAAGUUAAAUCCCUUUGGGCCUGUACACUAGAGACGUGUUUUAUUUCAAUGGUGUGGUUUAAGUACUUGAAUGUCACAAUAUCUGACCAAGGUUGGAGAAAAUGUUUCUUCUGCCAACUUUUACAAGGCACGAUUCUUAAACACUUUUAUAAUGUCCAAGUAUAUACAAGGAUAUGUAUUGUAACAAUUAUGGGUGUGUUUAUUUUACAAAAAUUAUAGUUUAUCUUGAAAAGGAAAAU
ensembl:lncRNA